CAUGCAGUCGAGCGGCAGCGCGGGGCACCUGGCGGCGAGCGGCGAACGGGUGAGUAAUGCAUCGGAACAUGUCCAUGUCGUGGGGGAUAGCCCGGCGAAAGCCGGAUUAAUACCGCAUACGCCCGAGAGGGGAAAGUGGGGGACCGCAAGGCCUCACGCGAUUGGGUUGGCCGAUGUCCGAUUAGCUAGUUGGCGGGGUAAAGGCCCACCAAGGCGAUGAUCGGUAGCUGGUCUGAGAGGAUGAUCAGCCACACUGGGACUGAGACACGGCCCAGACUCCUACGGGAGGCAGCAGUGGGGAAUUUUGGACAAUGGGGGCAACCCUGAUCCAGCCAUUCCGCGUGAGUGAAGAAGGCCUUCGGGUUGUAAAGCUCUUUUGUCCGGAACGAAACGGUGCUCGUGAAUAUCGAGCGCUACUGACGGUACCGGAAGAAUAAGCACCGGCUAACUACGUGCCAGCAGCCGCGGUAAU
rnacentral:rRNA from 1 species